CCUGGCGGCCUUAGCGCGGUGUCCCACCUGACCCCAUGCCGAACUCAGAAGUGAAACGCCGUAGCGCCGAUGGUAGUGUGGGGUCUCCCCAUGCGAGAGUAGGGAACUGCCAGGC
rnacentral:rRNA from 1 species